UUUUUUUUUUUUUUUUUUUUGUUUUAAAUAGGAAGAACCAACCUAACAGCUAGAUAAUAAACCACAUAACCCCAAAAACAAAUAUUGAGAGACAUCACAAGAAAACACUUCUACGUAUCAUACGAAUUCCAAUUACAACCGAAUAUAGUUUAAACAAUCCUCAACCACAAGAGAAUGCAAAAUUGAAGAACGACAUCAUACACCAUGACAUGGUAGUUACUAGAAUGAUGCAAGUAUGUAGAAGAACCUGAUAGACCAAUACCAACCUCCGAAAAACAAACUAAAGACAUGAUUAUGGAAUAUUGAAAGUCACUUGCAACUAGCCCAAAAUGAAACUGAACCAGAUCACAAUACAACAAAGAAAACACACACUAUUGUUUUUCUUCUUGUCUUUCAACUAGACAAAUGCGAAAGCCACUAUUCAUUUUUUUUUUUUUUUUUUUUUUUUUUUUUUUUUUUUUUUUUAUUUUGUAAACCAUUGAAACAGAUGCCAUUCCCGUGUGGGAGUAUGUAAUAUCUCCAUCUUUUACCAGAACACGAGGGUAGGGUGUAGCCUACAUCUUUUCGGCAAAACACACUCAAGAAGUGCAAUACCAUGAUAACGUGCAACACAAGAACUAACAUCUCUUGAGUGCAUCCGUCAGAGCAUGACCCUCACAGCCCCAACGGGUUCUUAGCCAAAUGAGUAUGCUCUCAAGACAUUCAAAUGGCUGGGGAUUUUGUGAGUCAUUGACCACUUACAAGAGGUGAGAGAAUAAAGAAAAUAAAAACAACGAUCAUGAAAAAGCAACCAUGGAAAACUGGAGUUAUACAUGUAUUGAAAAUGUCAAGCCAACCACAUUGAAAUGCAUCAUGCAAGAAACUACCAAUACGAAGAGAGUAUAAUGUAACCCUACAACUAUGCAUGACACAAAGACAGUUGAGAACGCCAAACUAGAAACAUCUGUAAAAUGAAAUCCACACAAUAGAGAAUGUAGUAUGUCCUCAAUACCAACAACAACAAUAAAUGACCAAACCUAAACAUCCUAAACACAGACAGUUCCAAUGAACACAUUAGACAUAUGAAUGCAGAAGAGGUGUAGUGACAAUGAAGCAGUUAUCAGAUGAGCGACUACCAGAUAACACCAAGAUAUGAUUGGAAUCAAAAACAUCACACCUAUUAUCCUCAAACACAACCUUAAAUUUAGCAUCACAUAACUGACUAAUACUCAAUAGAUUGGACCUAAGACCCUUAACAAAAAGAAGCUCAUGACUAUUGAGCGAUUCAACCUCAGAAAAGUUACCUUUACCUUCAACCGGAAGCAAUUUACCAUUACCAAACCUAACCUUACCUCCAUAACCAAGAGUCAGGUUAUCAAUCAGAGUCUUAUCACCUGUCAUAUGACGCGAACAACCGCUGUCAAGAUACCAUGAUGAAGGCAAUGGUUCAACCAAACGAGCCAUGUGAGACACCAUUUUCCUGGAUGCAUCCAUACUCCUAUCCCAGAAAUGUGGUGGUGGAGUAGGCAUGGGUGUUGCUUGAGGACGGUUUCCAUAAGGAGAAGUUCUGGGUAAACCCCACGGAGCAUAGCCAUUCCACAUGUAUGGAGCCUGCAUGGAGAAGGUGGAAGACUUGUUCCAAUAUGAGUUACCUGCAAAAGAAGGAUGAUGAGCAGGAUACAAAUUAUUCCAACAAAAGGCAGAAGUGUGACCCAUGCGACCACAUGUUAGACAUUUAAAGCCUUUGUGUCUAGAGUUCUUUUUCCGAACAUGCUUUACAUGAGUAACCUUGGGUGGUGAUACCACACUAGACACCUGCACAGGAGCAGGAAUAGCGACACUUGUUGGUCGCACAAAGGUAGUGCGGGAAGUGCUAGCAGUAGCAAGGGGAACAGAUGUGUCAUAACCUAAACCAGAUUUAUCUGAAUGGGAUUUACCGAUUCCCAACAGAGAGUUUAGAUUAGCACUUGCUUUACCAAACCCAACCAAUUGUUUGUUAGCAGCAAACAACUCAGCCUUUACUCUCUCAUGCUCCAGUACAAGGGAUCGAUACCGUGUUUCUAGAUCAUUAUUCAGCUUUUCCAGAGUGACAAUACGCACUUGGAAAUCCUCCUUUUCCUUCACAAAUUCUUCCUUCAACAUGUUGGAAUCACUUGUAAGAUUGCAUAUAUCCUGUCCAAGACUCUCUACCUGAUCCUGCAAGACGGUGUUAGUUUUUUCAAGCAACUUUACUUGUUGCAUAGAAAACUUAUACAUGUCACAUAAUUCACUAGUAGUAGCAUAAACACCAGAAUCAGAAACAUUAAUAUCAGCAGAAGAGGAUACAAUACCUCCUGGAUGUUCAUCCAGGGAUGCACUGAAGACCACAUAAUUGGAGACAACAUUUGAGAGAUUCCCAUCAUCAUCUUCAUCUGAAUCAUCCCAUGUUACUGUGAGAUUCGCUUUGGAAUUAUCACCAGGUUUGCGAUCCACCUUCUUAUCACAUUCAUUUGCAAAGUGUCCAUACUCACGACACUUGUAACAUUGGACAUCUUUACGAUCAACUCGAGCUCUUCUCCCAUCCACAGAGAACCGCUCAAAACCACGACUUCUAGGAGCAUUUGAGGAAUCAGGAAAUCGCUUUCGAGGAUCUCGAUUCUGUUGAUAUUUCAGAAUCUUCUGAAAGCUACGUGACAGAAAAGCAUAGUUAUCAUCCACAUCCUGUUCUUCAUCAUCAGAAGGUCCUGUGGAAGGUUCUUUAGACGAUGUAGCUUUGAAUGCUACAGAUUUGUUCUUCAAAGGUUCUUCCAAAGCCUGUUCCAUCUCACAUGUCCUUAGUUUCCCAGCAAGUGUCUCGAUGGACAUGUUCUUAAUCACAUUGCUCUCAGUGAUGGCAUCCUUACGUGAACGAAACCGAGGAGGCAAAGCACGCAAUAUCUUACGUACCACCUGUGUAUCAGUAUAUGCAUGACCAAUAGCCGCACUGCAGUUGAUGAUGUCUUGGAGACGAAUAAAGAAAUCAUCAAAGGUCUCAGAAUUAUCCAUCCGUAGAUUCUCAAACUGAGAUGUUAACAGUUCCAGCUUACUUUCUUUGACUGUUUCGUCACCUUCAUGUGUACAGAUAAGCCUGUUCCAUGCAUCUUUAGCCUCUUCACAGCCCUGCACCCUACGAAACUCACUAGCAUUUAAUGCCAUGAAAAUAGCAUUGAGUGCCUUGUUGUUAUAAUUUGCCAACAACUUCUGUUCAGGCGUCCACUUUUCACGUGGCGUCAGUGAUGUAACAGCAGUAUCAUCAGUACCUGUAGUAGUCAGAGGUUCUUUCCACCCUGUGACAAUAGAAAGCCAGACUUCUUCUCCUAAUGCUUGGAGAUAAGCUCGCAUACGUACUUUCCAAUGACCAAAGUCCUUUCCACUGAAUUGUGGAGGAAGACUUGAAGUAGCAGACUUGUGAGAUUCCAUAAAGCACUAUUGAUCGUUAGCGUGAGCCUUUAUGCUCCUUAACCAGCCCCCAGCGACUGAUACCAAUUGAGAAACUACAAAUAGUGCUAGUAUAACAAAUGUGAAUUCAAACAAGCAAACAAACAAUACGCAGAAAGUAAAUAACACACAAAGAUUUUUAACGUGGUAAAACCCAAAGAGGGAAACGUCCACGGUUGUCCUCGCGACAACAAAAUAAUCCACUAGAUGAAAAGAGAUGUACAAACCUAUCAACUACCUGCACUCACUGCGAGUUGAUACUCCUGGUUAUCUCUAACACCUUGACUUCACCAGAGCACCUUGAUGUACGCACAAGACACUCGACUUCUUGAUGAACACACAAGAAGACUCGAAGCCGAAAUCACAAUAACUCUUAAAGAUCACAAGGAUAUGAAUUGAGAAAAGGGGGAAGAAAGGGAAUUGAGUUCAAUAGCCACAAACAAUUUCAAUAUCACAAACCUAACCAAAACACAUGAACUAGAAGAAGGAUGGACGGCCAAAGAACUGACUUGUUCUAUGGAAGAGAAACCCUAUUUAUACUUAGGGUUGAAAACCUAGGAAAAUGGGCCGAAACUGUGCAAACCGACUUUGGACGUUCGUACGUCGAUAUGACGUUCGAACGUCGCCACACAAAAAUAAGCCUGCUGCCUAACAUGGCGUACGAACGCUCUAACUCGGUACGUACGUCUCCAUACGAAAACACGUCUGCUGCCUACUUGGACGUACGAACUUCCUAACAGCGUACGUACGUCCUGACCAAAAGAUGUUUGCUGCUUCAGUGGACGUACGUACGUCCUAACUCGGUACGUACGUCCAGAACCCAAUAACUUUUCCUGGACAGACCUAAGAGACACAAGGACACGAGACGACCAUGCGUACAUCUUGAUUUUCCUAACAAUGAAUUCAAGGCGAGAUAACCAAAGACACUUUGUCACAAAAUUGAUGUCAAACCACUUCGUGCCGGUUUCACGGCUAACUAAUUCCAGCCAAUCAAAAUCCUCUGGUCUGUCCUAACCCGGUUAACACUUUUUGAUUAAUAAAGCUUUCAUUCUUCCCCCAAAAUAUUCUUCUGAAGGGGCCAUGGAAUCAAACAUUUACCCAGAAAAAAAUGAGCUGAGAGAAGAGGACAGAGGCUGAGGGAAAUCAUGGAGAUGGUGGUAGUGGGUUAAAAUAGGUAUUAGGUAGAGUAAUGCGCGUAUAGAAAUUGAUAUCUUUUCUUAAUUAUUUGAUCAGCUUUCUUUUUGUAGUGUGCUCAUACAUUGAACCAAAUUGUUUUCUACUAAUGAUGAUUGAAAUGUAUGUUCCUGAUGUUAAAAAAUCCCAAGACAUGUGUGUUAUACACAGGUGGAAAAUCGCAAAAAGUCGUGAACUUAUUGAAACCGGCACUCGGUUAUUUGACAUUAAUUUUGUGACAUUGAUUGUCUCGGUUAUCUCGCCUUGAGUUCAUUGUUAGGAAAACCAAGUUGUACGCGCAUCAUCCCGAGUCUGUGUCCUCGCGUCCUUUUGUCAAAAGUAAGUUUUUGGGUUUAGGACGUACGUACCUAGUUAGGGCGUACGUACGUCCAAGCAGGCAGCAAACAUGUUUUGGUCAGGACGUACGUACCUAGUUAGGACGUACGUACGUCCAAGCAGGCAGCGAACUUAUUUCCGUGUGGGGACGUACGUACGCUGUUUCGACGUACGUACGCUGUUUCGACGUACGUACGUCCAAUUUAAAAUCUGCAAAUUCCGGCCCAUUUUCUAUGUUUCCAAACCCUAUCUAUAUAUAGGGUUUCUCUACCCAAUGAACAAACUAGUUCUUUGGCCCUCCAAUUCAUCUCUAGUCUUGAAGUUUGUCUAGGUUUUGGUUCAGGUUGUUUUGGUGAUUGAACUCAUCUUCUUCUUCCCCAUUCAUCUUCUUCUUCCUUAUUUGAAUAGUGAUUUAGCUUCGAGUCUUCUUAUGUGUUCAUCAAGAAGUCGAGUAUCCUUGUGUGUUCAUCAAGGAACUCUGGUGUAAGCUUGUUACAUAGAUCGGCUUCGAGUCUUCUUGUGUGUUCAUCAAGAAGUCGAGUGUCUUGUGCGUACAUCAAGGUGCUUUGGUGAAGUCAAGGUGUUAGAGAUAACCGGUAGUAUCAACUCGCAGUGAUUGCAGGUAGUUGAUAGGUUUGUACAUCUUUUUUCAUCAAGUGGAUUUAUUUGUUGUCGCGAGAACAACCGUGGACGUUUCCCAUAUUGGGUUUUACAACGUUACAAAUAUUGUGUGUUCUUUAUUUGUUUACUACUUUAUUGUUUGCCUUAUUAUUGUUAUUGCACAUAUAUUGGGUUUUCAAUUGGUAUCAGUCACAGGGCGCUUGUUAUGGAGCGUAAUGGCUCACGCGUUGAUCCUAUGAGUGCAAUAAUGGUUCAUGAGUCUGGUCAUAAUAAUUUUAUUGCUAAAUCGUCUAAAUCCACAAAACCAAAAUCUGAUUUUGAAAAGGAUAAUAAUUUGUAUGUUGUUAGCAAUAGUGAUUGGGCUCUUCUUUACAGGCUUUCAGCAAAAGAAUGUGAAAGGUUACAAAAAGUUAAUAUUGAUUUGCAGGAAAAGUUCAAUAAAGCUAAUUGUAAUUUGUCUACUAUUUCUGAUAAUUUUUGUUUUGAAGAUAAUGGUGUUUUGCAGACUAAGGUUGAUUCUCUAGAACAACGACUCAGAUAUUGUGCAGAAAACUAUAUGCUUCAAGGGGAAGUUUAUGAAUCCAAAAUUGAAAAAUUGGAUAAGGUUAAUCUUACUUUGCAGGAUAAAGCUGAGACUCUUGAAAAACAAAUUCUUUCUGCUACAGAUGAUUCAAUUUCUAUUUCUAAAUUAUUUGAACAAGAAAAACUUGACUUGUUAUGUAGAAUUGCAGAUCUGGAGAAGGCUAAUCAUGAAAGUGAAAACAGAUAUAAAUCCCUUUUAGUUGAGUUUGAGGUAACCAAGAAAGAUUUUGCAUCUACUCAACUCAUAUUGCAGAACAAAACCAGAUUUGACCUUCCUAAUGCUAAUAGUAGUCGUUGUUUAUCAAGUGUGACUGUUUUUGAACAAUCUAGCUUGCCUGCCCUUUUGCCUACCCCACCUAUUGAGACUAGACUUAAUAUUUAUACUUUUCAGCAUGUUUCUCGCAAAAAGGUUAAGUCUAAAGCUAAUGGUAAGGCUGUUUUUACUGAUAAGCCAUAUUGUUCUCAUAAUGGAGGUAUAGGUCUUGUUAAGGCACCAUGUCACGUACAAAUACAAUGGUGACAUACAUGUUUCAUCUUCUACUACCACAUCUUCUUCUAAGAAUUCUUUGAGUAAGUCUAAUGUUUUUCAUUGUUCUUAUUGUGGUAGAGUUGGUCAUUUGGAUAUCUUUUGUUGGGAUUUUGAUCAACAUGUUUCAUCCUAUUCUCGUGUUUCUCAUCGUUAUAAUCAUGUUGAUUCUAAUGUUCCUUCUUGUGCAUUUUCUAGACCUUGGAAUUAUAAUGGUUCUCAUCACAGGUUUAAGAAAAACAGGUAUUCCAACAAAAGGAAGUCUAAGACUAAGGUGGAAUUAGUUAAGGACAAGUGUAUUGCAAAGCUUGUUAAGGGGAAAUCUUAUAUCUUUUUAACUCCCAAGGUGUGCACGCCUAGUGUUAAACAAGUAUGGGUAAGAAAAGAUAAGUUGCAGGUUUUUCUGGACUUGCAAAAGUCUGGUGGUGUCCCAUAUUUGGGAUGAUGUAGUUUGUUUCUAGUCUUGUGUUAUUUUAAUUGCAUAUUUUUCUAACCACAUAGGCUAUUUGUUUAGUGUUUUUUGUUCUUCUGUUUAUGCAUGCGUUAAUUGUUCUUUCAUUAUUCCAUGUAUGUGUUGUAGGAUGCAUCCUUUCUGAUAUACUAGUAUAAUUCAAUUGUCUUAAAUAAGUUGCAAUUUGUUUGGGAGGUUUAGGUUCUUUUAUUAUUUCUCUUCUAUAGGCUUCGUCUUAGGUGUUGAAGACAUACUAGUCUAUUUAUUGUUUGGAUUCCAUUCUUUUUGGCUAGUUAUAGUUUGGUAACUUCAACUGUGGAUUCCUGUCAAGGAUUGUUGUAGGGCUGCAUCAUACUCCCUUCGCCUUUGGUGGUUUACUGCAUGAUGCAUUUGCAUGUUGUGGGAUUUUUAGAGUAUUUUUAUACCUUGAUCCUUGUAUGAUUAAGAAAUGAUCAUCUGGCAUCAUCUCUAGCUUCUGUUUUCUUCAUGGUCAUCAUUCUUUUUAUAUAUACCUCUUGUAAGUGGUCAAUGACUCACAAAAUCCCCAGCCAUUUGAAUGUCUUAGGCGCAUUAUCAGUUGGCUAGGAACCCGUUGGGGCUGUGAGGGUCAUGCUCUGACGGAUGCACUCAGGAGAUGUUAGUUCUUGUAUUACACGUUAUCAUGGUAUUGCACUUCUUGAGUGUCUUUUGCCGAAAAGAUGUAGGCUACACCCUACCCUCGUGUUUUGGUAAAAGAUGGAGGUGUACUAUACUCCCACACGAGAAUGGCACUUGUUUUAAAUGGAUAAAACCAAUAAAAAUAUUCAUAUAUAUUUGAACCAGGGUCUUUCCGUAUUGCGGCCUAGACAGUGUUUCCAUGGUUUUUGUUAUGGUCCGGUUCACAUUUCAUGUUUGUCCUAUUGUAAGUGACCUUCAAAAUACUCAAUGAUCUUAGUUUCGGUUUGUUCCCAGAUUUUUUUUAAGGUGAUUCCCUCUUCUAAGUAUACCCGGAUUUUGGUAUAGGUCUACCCUGCUUCUCCUGCAUGCUUGCAUCAUUCUUUUGAGUACCGUGGUUUGGUGUAUGAUUUAGUUUUUCGUUCUUGCAUUUUCUCAUGGUUGAGGCUUGUUCAAAUUGUAUUUGUGCUUUAAUCGGAAUCCUUACGAUACUUAGAAAUAUUUCCAUGUGAUGUCUCUCAAUAUUUGUGUUGUUAGUUAUUCGGUUUGUUUUUCUGUUGUUAAGGUUAGUUCUCUAUUGUUUUUUAUUUAAAUUUAAAGCUUGUUCAAAUUGUAUUCGUGCUUUAAUCGGAAUCGUUACAAUACUUAGAAAUUUUCCCAUGUGAUGUCUCUCAAUAUUUGUGUUGUUAGUUAUUCGGUUUGUUUUUCUGUUGUUAAGGUUAGUUCUCUAUUGUUUUUUUUUUAAAUUUAAAUUAAAUUUAAAUAAAAAAUAAAAAAAAAAGUACGUACGUUGUUAGGACGUUCGUACGUUCAGGGAGGCAGAACUUUUUUCUCCUCGAACGUAUGAACGUUGUUUGGUAGUUCGUACGUUGAACCAGACAGAUUUUUUUUUUUUUGAGUCGACGUACGAACGUUAAAUAGACGUACGAACGUUGCUGCAACAGUUUCGGCCCAUAUGUUAGUUUUUAAACUCAAGUGUUUACAACUUUUGCCCAACUGUUCAAAUUCAAAUCGUUCCACCAAGUAAGUCCUCCAUAUAUAUCACUACUGUUACACCAAGUAAGUCCUCCUCCAUUCUCUUCUUCUUCCGUCUCUCUUCUUUUUUUUCUCUUGGUGAUUUAUGGUUAUAUGUUUCUGUUUGCUCUUGGUUGGAAGGUUGGUUAUCAUUUUUUUGUCUAGUUUACAUCAUUGAAUAUAUACUUGGUGUCUUGACAAGUUUGGGUGCUCGUGUGAUUCUUAAUGGUUAUGGAACCCUUGGACAUGUUUAGUAUUAUUAUCGACUGCGCAAUAUAGUGUUUUUGACUAUGUGUACUGUCUUGCACACCAAGUGUUUGCUCAACUGCCUAAAUGAAAAUUCUCAACUAUUUUGGUUGUUACUUAGAGUGUUUUCUAACAUUCUUCGAUUGGUUCCUAUUCUGGGUAUGCAGGACAUGCCUCCUAAGCGAGCUCGGACUACUCCCACCAAAGAAACACCCGGUUCCAAGGGUGCUUCGUCAUCGGGCACACGUCCUCCUCGUGCUCAAAGGAGUAGAGGCGCCAUUUCUUCGGAUUCUUGUAUGCUUGUUGUUCUAGCAUUGGUUGUUGCUACCACCACUUAGACUGCUCUUUUCUACUGUAUGCAGGUUCAUGGACAAUGUGCGUGUCGUCAACUUUAUUUUUCUCUCAGUAACUUUACAGGCAGAUGUUCUUGCUGAAAGUGUUUAUGGGUUACUCUAUUUUGGUUCCAUUCCUUGGUAAUUCUUUUCAGUCGGUUUUUCAUUGACAUACUAAGGUCAGAUUGUUAGUAUUAUUUGGUUUUAAACUUCAUGCUUUCUAUUUUUGUCAUUGGAUCACAUGUGUUUGAUGUGAUUUCUCAAGGUAAUGGUUCUCAAUUUGUUUUAAGAAGGCUACAAGGUAUGCAUAAGCAUAUUUUGGUGAUGAAAUCAUGUUAUUGGUGUAUUCGUUUGUCAUGAUUUAUACUGAUUCAUGUUUUCUCAUAGGUUCUCAUCAUACUUUUCUAUGUUGGGAUAAUAUUCUUGAAUUACCUUGUUGGCUAGCUGGUGUUUGAUUAAAUGCUUACGAGACUUGCCUAUCCUCUUAUUGUUGCUUCUUGUGCCUGGUUGAUCCUAUUUUUUCCUGCAAUAGGUUUGAUUAGAUGUGUUCUUGGUAGUCUUCUACAAUAAUCCUCCUGCAAUGGUUUUGGGCUACCACUGUUCUACUUUGGGAUGCAUAUGCUCAGUUUGGUCAUCUAUUGUUAGCAAUUCUCUUCUAUUGACUCUCUAAUCUUUCUGACAAUGUAUGGCAUGUCAUCGGAGUCUUAGUGUUCUGGCAGAAAAUUUGCUCUGAAGUUGGAUUGUUGCUUUGUGACUUGGUGACAUCGAUAAUCCUUGUUCAUUCUUCAGAUAAAGCAUUUUUUUAUGAGCUUGAUGAUUGCUUAUCUUGUUUGGCAUAUGUUGAACUAAUUUUUGGGUUUCCAUUGUGUUUGGGAUAAUAUUUUCUUCUCUUUGUUUAUGAGAUUCUCUAAUUCCUUUUUGUGGUUGGAUGAGUUGUUUCAGGAACAUGUACAGAUUGGAUUUCCCCAUGGAUUCUCAAUGGAUUUUCUUAUACUUUACAUAUUUCAUCCUGCAGAUACUCAUAUUUCUGUAGUUUUGUCAUGGGUUUGACUAUUUGGUUCUUAGUUAUUAUUGUUAGUUGCCGAUUUCAUUGGGUUUGGUAUUUCUUCUUUUUUGUUUGUUUGCUCUUUUUCUCUAGAUAUUUUCCUACUAUGAAGUCGUUUCUUUGGAGUCUAUCUCAGGUCCUGACUCCUUCUUCUAUGUAUAGGUUUCUCUUGGUUUCUAUCAGGGAUUCAUGUUAUGUUUUCUUUUCUUCCCUCUGUUACCUAUAUAAGUAUUCAGUGUCUUUUCACUAUCUCCUUCUUAUCUCGUUUUGGUUCUUAUCUAAUCUCCCUUCUUGUGUCUGUCUUGGUACUCUUUCUUCUUCAUUUAUAUGUCUAGAUCUCUCUCAUGUCAUUUAGUUUUGUGUGUCAUGGAUUCUAGAUUUAUGGUAUGGUUUUCUCCUUCCUCUCUUCUUUUAUUCUUUGGUUCAUUUUGCUUUAUUCUCGUUUUGAUUUAUGUCACCCCUUUGCAUCAUUUGUGACAAAAAGGGGGAGAUUUAUGACUCUAAUACUAAUAUUCGUUUCUUCCUUUGUUAGUGUAUUCUUGGGUCAUGUUUUAGGUAUACUACAUGUAUGGGGGAGUGAACAUGUAUGGGGGAGUGAAAGUGAUGAUGAUCACAAAGUGCAUGUACAGUUUUGGGUAAGCUCGAGUAUUAAACCUUGGAGCUCAUGAAGUAUGGGGGAGUUAUUCGAGGAACUUCCAUUGGCUCUUUGAUUGUUUCAGAAUUUCUUGUUGCUUCUGUUCGGUCUCUGAUGGUUAAAGCAUCUUACUCAAGCUGGAUAUCAUGUGUUGGUGACUCGGUAUGUAUUCUACUAUGAGUGUUUUUGUAGGCAUGUUUUAUAAAUGCCAUGGUUUGGGUUUGUAUGCACGUUUUAUAAGUGCUACUAGAGUCAUAGGUUUUUGUCACAAAAUCAAUGUCAAAGGGGGAGAUUGAAACCGGCACUCGGUUAUUUGACAUUAAUUUUGUGACAUUGAUAGUCUCGGUUAUCUCGUCUUGAGUUCAUUGUUAGGAAAACCAAGUUGUACGCGCAUCGUCCCGAGUUUGUGUCCUCGCGUCCUUUUGUCAAAAGUAAGUUUUUGGGUUUAGGACGUACGUACCUAGUUAGGGUGUACGUACGUCAUGUUAGGCAGCAAACAUGUUUUGGUCAGGACGUACGUACCUAGUUAGGACGUAUGUACCUAGUUAGGACGUAUGUACCUAGUUAGGACGUACGUACGUCCAAGCAGGCAGCGAACUAUUUCCAUGUGGGGACGUACGUACGCUGUUUCGACGUACGUACGUCCAAUGUAAAAUCUGCAAAGUCCGGCCCAUUUUCUAUGUUUCCAAACCCUAACUAUAUAUAGGGUUUCUCUACCCAAUGAACAAACUAGUUCUUUGGUCGUCCAAUUCAUCUCUAGUCUUGGAGUUUGUCUAGGUUUUGGUUCAAGUUGUUUUGGUGAUUGAACUCAUCUUCUUCUUCCCCAUUCAUCUUCUUCUUCCUUAUUUGAAUAGUGAUUUAGCUUCGAGUCUUCUUGUGUGUUCAUCAAGAAGUCGAGUGUCCUUGUGUGUUCAUCAAGGAACUCUGGUGUAAGCUUGUUACAUAGAUCGGCUUCGAGUCUUCUUGUGUGUUCAUCAAGAAGUCGAGUGUCUUGUGCGUACAUCAAGGUGCUCUGGUGAAGUCAAGGUGUUAGAGAUAACCGAUAGUAUCAACUCGUAGUGAUUGUAGGUAGUUGAUAGGUUUGUACAUCUCUUUUCAUCUAGUGGAUUUAUUUGUUGUCGCGAGGACAACCGUGGACGUUUCCCAUAUUGGGUUUUACCACGUUAAAAAUAUUGUGUGUUCUUUAUUUGUUUACUGCUUUAUUGUUUGCGUUAUUAUUGUUAUUGCACAUAUAUUGGGUUCUCACUUAUUACAAAUAUAUUCGUGUCUUUUAGAAAUUGGAUAUUGAAAUAUUCAUGAAUAUUCGACAUAUUGUGACAAAUACUUUGUGUCUAGUGUCGGAAGUUUAGAUAUAUCCAUUUUUCCAAAAAUCGGAUCCUGAGAAAAGCGAUAUUUUCAGCUAUGGUUAUACACACAUCCAUGGUCGCAAUUUUGCAAAUAUUUCACCGACUAAAUGUCUAAAACUGUAGCUUAGGGCUGGGCAAAACCGAUCCGAAACAUGCAAACCGAACUGAACCGAUCCGAACCGAAAAUAAGGUGUUUACAUGUUUACAUGUUCGGUUGUAGUUUCUAAUUUUGCAAAACACCUACUUUGGGUGUUCGGUUGCAGUUUCGAAAAUUUCCGAACACCCAAAACCGAAACGAACAUGUAAUUUUGUAUACAGUCCAGCCCAUCUCUCCAGCAGUUCAGCCCAUUUGUCCAACACUCCAGCAGUCCAGCCCAUCUACUAGGUGUUCGGUUCGGUUUUAUUCGGUUAACCGAGCCAAAUAACAUGUUCGGUUAUGUUUCGGUUUUAGUAAAAAAAAUUCGGUUCGGUUUCAAAAAUCAAACAGUUCGGUUUUAGCUUUAACAAAACACCUACUAGGUGUUCGGUUGCCUGUUUUGACCAAAACCGAACCGAACCGAACCGUGCCCAUCCCUAGUGUAGCUUAUAGUUGGUUACAGACCCAUUUGCCACAGCCCAGUGUUGUGGUUUAUAGGACUCAUCUGCUACAGCCCAUUGUUGUUGCAAAUAGGGCCCAUAUAUCCCAUGUGUUUUAGCCAUAGCCUAUUUAUUAUAGAAAUCAUUUUUUAAUAGAUCACACAAAAGUCAUUUUUUACAUCCAUAGUACCGAUUUCGCAAAUAUUUCACAAUGCCAAAAUAUUCAUAUAGUAUAAUAUAACACAAGUGCCUUAGCACCGGUUAAUUUUAAUUUAUCCGUGUCUGAUUACCAUUCGAGUUUUAAGUUAUUAAUUUUAAUAUAGAACCGUGAGACGGUGGGACCGACUUUAGAGUUGAAAUUGGAGAUCGAGGGUCGAAGAGAAGAAGGAGAAUUGAGGGAGUGGGGGAGAUGAGAAGAAGAUAAAAGAAAGAAGAGGGAGAAGAAGGAGAAUUGAGAGAGAAAGAGAGAGGGAAGAAGAAAAAGAAAAAAGAUAGACGAAGAGAAGAAAGAGAAGAGAGAUUUUUUUUUUUUUAAAGUGGACGGACAGAUACUAUUUUUCUUACCACCUGAAGUAUAAUGGACCUCGUAAAAUCGGUCGAUUAAAUAUUACAAAUUACAUUAAUUUAUUAAAUUUUAUGAAAUAAUUAUGUCUUAAGAUUCUCAUAUAUUUUGUUAAUUUAAUUAUUAAUUUUUUUAAUAAUAAUUCAGCCCAUAAAUUAAAUAUGUUAAACUACUAUUAUAAACCUGAAUAAAAUUCAGGGGUAAUUAAGUCCCCAUUAAUGAGAAUUGAGCUUUAGAAUUUUGUCACCUAAUUCUGACUAAAAUACCCUUUUAGUCAUGGUUUUUUGGUAAAUUUACAUAAUACCCUUUAAAUAAUGGUUUUAUUGUAAUUUAACAUAUUUUUAUUUAUGGGAUGAAAUUCUAUUUAUGAGCAAAGGGUCCAAUAAUUAAAUUAACAAAAUACAAUCACAAAUUAGCUCGUUGGAAUGAGAGAGAGUCCAGUUUGUUGGAAUGAGAGAGAUUCCAGUUCAGUAAAAUCAUUUUUCUGAUUCUCUCUCAUCAUUUCAUCACAAAUUAUAACACCAUUCCCGAGAAAAUCCCAGAUUAAAUCCAAGUCGUCAGUUGUCCACACAAACUUAUACAGGUCCUCCUUAUAAUAUAGACUAGUGUCUUAGCUGGUGCUACGCACCGGUUAAUUUUAAUUUAUCCAUUUUCGAUUACCAUUCAAGUUUUAAGUUAUUAAUUUUUUAAAAUAUUAUAAAUUACACUAAUUUAUUAAAUUUUAUGAAAUAAUUAUUUCUUAAAUAAAUUUGGAUAGUUUUUCUUAAUAUUUUGUAAGAGUUCAUUAUAUUUUUUUUAAUUUAAUUUUUUUUUAAUUAUUAAACCUUUUGCUUAUAAAUAAAAAUCCAUCCCAUAAAUAAAAAUAUGUUAAAUUAUAAUAAAACCAUUACUUAAAGGGUAUUAUGUAAAUUUACUAAAAAAACCAUGACUAAAAGGAUAUUUUAGUCAGAAUAAAGUGAUAAAAUUUUAAAGCUCAAUUCUCAUUAACCAGGGUUACCCCUGAAUUUUAUUCAGAUUUAUAAUAGUAGUAUAGAUAAAUAUUGAUAACUGCCUUAUAAUUUUUUUAUUUUAAAUUAUUAUUGUUUUUCAUCCAACAAAACCACUUCACCAUAGGUUAAUAAUGGUGUUUUGCUUGUUUCUAAACUGUUCAUCCUGUGUUGAUAGUUAUCUUACAUUAUUCUUACAUACUAUUCUUACAUGCUAUCCACUACAUCUCACUGCUUAACAACUUUAUUGAAAUAGCUAUUCAAAAUUGAGAUUCCAAUAAAGUAUAUCCAAAUUUUCAAUACCCUCCAAUACAUCAGUAUGUAUGUACGUGAAGAAUAUGAGUUUAAUAUAAUCUUAAUUUGUAGUUUUGUUCAAUCGGAAACAUUUAUUUAUAAACGUAUUGAAUUGUUUAUAUAGUUUGCAUUGAACGAAGAAGGUGCUAAAUGUUUUUGGACUUGUCAUGCUAGUUAGAUGCUGAUUAUAUUCAUAAUAGUUCAGUGACAGAUACCAAACCGGCUAACUAAUUCCAGCCAAUCGAAAUCCUUUGUUCUAUCCUAAACCCGUUGACACUUUUUGGUUAAUAAAGAUUUCAUUCUUCUACCAAAAUAUUAUUUCUGAAGGGGCCAUGGAAUCAAGCAUUAAUUGUGUUAAGUUGUCCAUAAUUCAUACCCAGAAGAAGAUUAGUCGAGAGAAGAGGACAGUGGCUGAGGGAAAUUGUGGAGAUGGUGGUAGUGGGUUAAAAUAGGUAGAGUAAUGCGCGUAUAAAUAUUGCAUUCAAAAACCAUCAAGGGAAACAGGACACGUCGUCAAAUUUUUUUAUAACUUUGUAUUAUUCCUGCUGCUUGGUGAUGUAAAUUAUAAAUGAUCCCCAUAAGAAUUAUUUGUUAAAAUGAUAAACCAACUCAGGGUUUCAUCCAGGUUUAUGAAUCUCAGAUAUCUAAGGAAACCGUUGGUGGCUCUCUUUCUCUCUCCUCUCUGAAUUUGUGGUCCCCAUGUUUCCUCUUUUCACGUAUUUUUUCUAUUUUCUAUUUUGAGUGUUAACAAACACCACCUGCUUCGCAGAUGCCCACUGAGCACAGUUGGUAAUACCUCUGGGCGAUGAUACUAGAGGUCUGAGGUUCGAUCCCAAGCAGUGCAUCUUUGAGUUACUGAUCUCGUAAAAAACAGGCUUGUCAAUCCAAAAAAAAAAAAAAAAAAAACACCACCUGCUUCCGAAAAUGGAAAGUUCUAAAAAAAAUUAAAAAAAUUAUGUAAACCUAUACGUGUAAGCUUUUGUUUUGCAAGUAAACAAGCGCAGCCAUUAAACACAUUUCUAGUUGUAAUCCGAAAAUUUUCAUUAGCCACAGCCCAGUGUUGUUGCUUAUAAGACCCAUCUGCUACAGCUCAUUGUUGUGGCAAAUAGGAGCCAUUUGCUACAGCCCAUUCCCAUGGUUUUAAUUCCAGGGAAUAAAAUAUUGGGCCUGUUAAGACAUCAUGAGGUAAGAUUGGCCCCGCCCAAGUUCAUUGUAUAGUGUGUGCAAAGAUCUCAUUAUAUUGCAUACCUUGCUUCCAUUUUUAGGCGUAGUCUGCCAACAAGUCUUAGAAAAACUUCAAGUGUUUUCAGGAAAUAGAAUUUGCAGUUAUUUCUUUUUUUGCCUUCUCUACUUGUGCAUCUUCCUCCAAAAUCUUCUGCAGGAAAAAAAAAUCUACUGCUCUUCGUCUCUCUCAGGUUUUAACUUGGUUUUCAAUCUCGAUCUUCUAAAGAAUUUUGGAGUUUUUUUUUUAGUUGAACAACGAAGACAUCAAUACAUCAUCGAUUGUUCCUGAUGUAGUUUAUUUUUUUUCUACCACUUUCAUCAAUGGUUUCUAACAUAGAAUUAUUUUAUUGAUGAAAGUGGUACUCUAAUUACUGUUAUUUUAGCAAUCUGAAAUUUUCGCCAGAGGUUGGCCUUAUAUACUAUUUUUUCGAUCAGUUCUAUCUCAUCAAACCUAAUUUUGAGAAAAAAACAAAACUCUCCGAAUUAAGAUUUAAACCCAAGUUCUAUCCCUUCAAGAAUUCAAGAAUUCAAUAUACUGUACAUCAUAAAAUCUCUUUCAGAUGAGAAAUACAAUUAAUUCAAACUUGAAUUGAUUUAAAAAACCCUAAAUUCCAAAAACCCCAUGAAUUCUUUGAUAAAAUCAAAAGUAAUAUAACCUCAAAUAUAUAUUCCUAAAAUUGUUUUAGUUUAUGAAAGAGAAGAGUGCUUUAGAGAAAGAAUUUGUGUUUGGACGAAGAAAGAUAGAAACGAAAGAGAAGAGUCCUGAGUAGAAGAAAAGAUAAGAGAGCAAAUAAUUAGGGCUGACAUGUACUAACCACGUCAGUCUGGUUGUAAGGUCUGGCUACUAUGGUUGUCCCCAUAGAAUUACUUAAUUACUAUGCAAAUAGCUAAUUGCAUACUUUGUCACCACAUUUGGACAUAACCACCCAACAAGUCUCAGUGUAGUAUAAGUGUGUUAUGAUUAAUAAAUCUGCAUGAGUUGUUUAUAUAUAUAUAUAUAUAUAUAUAUAUUGUCAUGAGCUCUUUGCAUACUUAUUUAAUCUGGUUUUGCAUAACUUCAAAUGUGAUAUUGUGUGUAAAACUGUACUUUACUUCAAGAAAUCGUCAUACAUGACCAUAAACAAUGGAACUAUACAUACAAUAAAAAAUAAUUUAUCUGUACAUACGUAUAAUGAACUCUAGAAGGAACUAGAUCUUAUGCGACCUUAAGUGCAUUAGACCUUGAAAUCUACCCUAAUGGAACCUUAAUUAGAAUAUAAAUGUAGUCUUAUGUGACCCUAAAGGUAGUGUUAUUAAGUAUACCUUACACUCAACGAACUAAGUCUCACCUGACUCUAGAUGUGUGCAUAUUAACUCUACUCUACCUCUAUCAACCCUAGAACCAAUUAGAUUUUAUGCUGCUUUCAAUGCUUGGAGCUCUUUGCAUUUCAUAAUCAACUAAUUGGUAUGUGUUGUGUUUUGGUUGCAUUGAGUUAAAUGCAUUGGAUACAUAGACCUCUUUGCAAUGUAUAGAUGGAAUUUGAAUUUGUUCCACACACUUUAAGAGUGUGGAACAACACUCUCCACCAGAUUUUGCCACGUACUACUAACUUUUUUUUUUUUUAAUUUAGCUGGUCCCACUAGGGUUAACAGCACCAUAUUAGUGUUUUAGUUUUUUAAUUAAUCUUACUUAAUAUUAAAAAAAAAAAAUCAAAAUUUUUAUUUUUUAAUAUAGCCACGUGGCAAGAUCUGGGGAGAGUAUUGUUCCGCACUCUUAAAGAGUGGAACAAAUUCGCACUCGUAUAGAUGUCACUACAUUUGAUGCAUAAACUUUUUUGCAAUGUAUUGAGGUCACUGCAUUGAAUGCAUUAAUUAAGCUCUUUGCAUUUUGUUUUUAACUUGCUAGUAUAUGAUGUGUUGAUUGCAUUGAGCCCACUGCACUGAAUGAAUGGAAGCCAAUGCAGUUGUAAUUGUCUUAUAAGCUAAUCACCACCAAAUACAAAUCUAUCGUCUGACAUUAAGAUAGAUAAGGACCAGGAAAUGUUCUUUUACAAGAUAAUCAAUACAAAAUGUAAAUAUACAAUGUUUAUAAUUUAAGAGGGACAAGGUAGAGUAAAACAUUAAAGUUCAUUCACAUUUUCCAACUACCACAAAAUGAAUUGUUCGGAUAUGAGUUUAAUUUGUAUUAAAUCAAAUCAAAAAAUUUAAUCAAACUCAUUAAAAUGUAAUUAAACCCAUUAAAAUUGGACAAGCAAUUCUAUCUCUUCCCGAUAUUAUUUGUAUUGAUUAACUUUCUUCAAACAUGGGAAAAAACAUAUGGAUAAAAUAGAGAAUAAUAUAAGAUCCUUUGGUGCGCGUAACUAAUUUUCAAUAAUACAUUAUCUAUCUCUUUUAAAGCAGCAGCUUGAAGAUAAAGCUUCUUGUUUAGAGAUGCAAAGGAUCAAUGUUUAUUAAACUCUCAAUGUUUAUUUUAUUUUAAUAAAAUAAAAUCCAAGAGCUACUGCUACCAUGUUGCAGGAAGCACCACAUGCAACUACUAAACAAUCGCAUAACUCUUGGAUCCCUCCAGCUUACCAAAGCUUACCGAACAUGUAAACAUGUAAACACCUUAUUUUUGGUUCGGAUCGGUUCGGUUCGGUUCGGUUCGGUUUGCAUGUUUCGGAUCGGUUUUGCCCAGCCCUACUUGUAGCUAACACCCUUAACCGAUCAUAUCACAUUCAGAUUAUUUCUGGUGGUUUUGAACGUGGUAUUGUACUGAACUCUUCGUCGAGUUUUAUCUAGAUCAUUUUUGUCUUAUAUCCAUUCCAAGCUUCUAGCUGGUACUUUGGGUCUAAACCUGUAAUACCAAACUCCAAUCAUGAAUUUGUGUACACUUUGUUACAACAUCUAUAGCAACGUGAUAUUCAUGCCCACAAUCAAGAGUAGGGUUUAGGGUUUAGGGUCAACCUAUCAAAUUGUGACCAUUUAUCUAUUCAAUAAAACUUCUAAAACAAACUUUUCGAAGAAAUGGUGGAAUUUAAAAUUGUUCUUGUUCAAAUUGUAAUCAACAAGAAUAAUGAAUUUUGAGAAAGAAAAACAGAAAAUUGCGAGAUACAAUAGCUUCCAACCAGCUUUGAAUGCAAAAUCCAAAGAUGAACCGUACCUGAACGAAUUGACUUGAAAUUGAACAAAUCAGAAUGGAUUUUGAUGAGAUUGGAAGAGCAGGCAAGCUAUUUAAGCUUUAACAACCCACCUUCUUAAUGGAAGAAAUUUGCAUUGAACAAAUUGAUGUGUAUGCACAGAAGGAAGGAAGGAUAACGAAGGGAAAAAAAAUUCUGAAAUUAAACAGGGCUGUUUUUACAAUAUUUACGUUAAUUGGGUUGUUUCUUAGUCCUCAAAAAGGCCUUUUGUACAAACCGGGUCUUAGCUGGGCCACUUUUUGUUUGUGAAUCCUUAAUGAGGUCCUUGAACCAUUUCCAUGUUUUAAUUCUGCACCAUAAGCCAUGUGUUUUAGCACAACCCAUGCCACAUGUUUGAGCUGUGGUUAAAAACCCUAGUCUGUGGCAAAGAUCAAAUUUUUUUUGUAGCAGAUGUUGAUCCUAUAUAUUAUCCACUACAUCCCGCUUAACGACUUUAUUGAAAUAGCUAUACAAAAUUGAGAUUCCAAUAAAGUAAAUACGGAACGAAGUUGCUAAUAGCAUUUUGACGUGUAAAUCCAAAUUUUCAAUGCCCUCCAAUAUGUCAAUAUGUAUGUGAAGAAUGUGAGUUUAAUACAAUCUUUGUAGUUUUGUACAAUCGGAUACCUUUAGUUAUAAACGUAUUGAAGUGUUUAUAUAGUUUGCAUAGAACGAAGAAGAUGCUAAAUGUUUUUGGACUUGUCAUGCUAGUUUUUUUUUUUUUUUUUCCUAGGUAAGUUUCAAUUUUAUUAAGCCUUGGGAAAGAAUAUAAGAAAACAGAAAAAAAAAAAAAAAAAAAAAAGAAAAGAGUACAAACUAGGAUAGUAGUAAGCUACCGAUUCCUAAAUCUGUAGAAAACACUAUGGGGGUCCUCCAGUCUUAAAAGAUAUGAACGCCUGCCAACAGAAAAAUCACUAAAGUUAGGCCCUAAAUUAGCUCCAUGAUUUGCCAGAGAGUCAGCAGCAAAGUUAGCUUCCCUCCAAUUUGAAGAAAUCAGAACAUGCUGUAAUGAUGCCAAAGCCUUGCUCCAUCUUCUCUCCAUUAUCCAUGGUAUUGUAUUUUCACCAAAAGCUUGAACUGCUGAAGUAGAAUCCGAUUCAAUCCAAAGAUGAGACCAUCCUUGUUGAAUUGCCCACUCCACUCCAACCGUAAUAUUCAUAAUAGUUAGAUGCUGAUUAUAUGCUGGGACAAAUGACACCAACAGAUGAAGUGGACACAAUGAGAUGGACUUUAUCGAGUGGAGGUAACUUCACUGUUGCAUCUUUUUACAAAAGCUUGAUAGACUUCAAUGGUAUACAUGAGUUUCCAAGCAAACUAGUUUGGGAAAAUGAUCUUCCAUAUCGGGUAAAAUUUUUCUUCUGGUGUUUAUUAUGGAAUAGAACUCUGACGGAAGUGAGACUGAGAAGAAUGGGGAUUCAACUUGCAAGCAGAUGUUCACUUUGCAAAGGAGAAGAGGAAACUAUAAAUCAUUUGUUCUUAUAUUGUCCAUUUGCGCAAAAGCUGUGGAGAUGGUGUCUAAAUGGAAUUGCUACUCAUCAUAGUGGAAUGGAGGAACCGCAGAGUGUUAAAAUUUGGUUGCAAGACUGGCCAAAGAUAAAUACAACAAGGUGGGGUGGCAUUUUGUGGAAAUAUGCGCCAUACGCAGUGAUAUGGUGUAUAUGGAAGAUUAGAAAUGAGAACAUCUUCAUGGAGAAACCGACGACACCAGAGAAAG
rnacentral:lncRNA from 1 species